AAUCUUAUAGUUAAAUUAUAAUAUAAAAUUGCAAAUUUUAAGUGAUAAAGAAAAAUCUAAGGUUU
rnacentral:tRNA from 1 species